rnacentral:rRNA from 1 species
CAGUCGCGCGGGAAUACGAAGGGGGCUAGCGUUGCUCGGAAUGACUGGGCGUAAAGGGCGCGUAGGCGGAUUGCGCAGUCAGAUGUGAAAUUCCUGGGCUUAACCUGGGGGCUGCAUUUGAGACGCGUAGUCUAGAGUGUGAAAGAGGGUCGUGGAAUUCCCAGUGUAGAGGUGAAAUUCGUAGAUAUUGGGAAGAACACCGGUGGCGAAGGCGGCGACCUGGUUCAUAACUGACGCUGAGGCGCGAAAGCGUGGGGAGCAAACAGGAUUAGAUACCCCCGUAGUCCCUGUCUCUUAUACA